rnacentral:rRNA from 1 species
UACGUAGGUGGCAAGCGUUGUCCGGAAUUAUUGGGCGUAAAGCGCGCGCAGGCGGUCCUUUAAGUCUGAUGUGAAAGCCCACGGCUCAACCGUGGAGGGUCAUUGGAAACUGGGGGACUUGAGUGCAGAAGAGGAAAGCGGAAUUCCACGUGUAGCGGUGAAAUGCGUAGAGAUCGGAAGGAACAUCAGUGGCGAAGGCGACCACCUGGACUGAAACUGACGCUGAGGCGCGAGAGCGUGGGGAGCAACAGGAU